AACCAGAAAACCAGCUCCACCACGUUCCCGGAGGUGCAGAAACGGUAUGUGGGCCGGCCGCCGGCCCACCGCGCGUUUUGGGGCCUUCCUGUUCGCGGUGUCCACUCUGUAUGCCUUCCGGUGCUCCUCACCGCCGUUCCGGCGCACGGACGCCGUCGGCCAUUGGGCAUGCCGCUGACCUCCAGCGGCACGCACUCCGCCUCCACCUCCACCAGCGGUGGAACCGCUUUUGGCUCACCUGGGUUUACCGGCGAUGCCGAACAGGGGAAGAAAAGCGCCUCCCCAUGCCGCGCGCGGUUCCGAUCUGCUGGUUGCAUUCUGUGUACCACUAUCAAUUUGGAGGGCUCUGACGUCUUGAGAAGAGCAAUUUGGGGGCUCUGAUCAGCGGCGUACCGCAUGAGGACCGGGACAAAGGGGGAUGGAUCGCCGCGGGCAAUGUGAUGGGGAAGGGGACAAAGAUCUGACCUGUAUCGAUGGGUACACUGCUCUCUGGAUAGGACUGUGCAGCCGUACGUGGCGAUCACGUGCAUCUUAGAGAAAAGCAUUUGUGAUCUGAAAUGAGCCGUCGUUUUCCACGUUGAUAUGCUCAUAUGGCCAUCUGCGCUGCCGCUGUUUUUUCUUUACAUUUACUAGAGCUCGUUCAUGAUGAUUGAUGAUUGGAUUCAUGGUAAGCUUGAAAUCGGUCAUGUGAACUGAGGUGACUUUGUAUUCGGUGGGAAAACAUAUAUACAAAAUGUCAACGGUCACUUUUGACAGUGUCUUGCUGACGUG